UACGUAGGGCGCAAGCGUUUAUCCGGAAUUAUUGGGCGUAAAGAGCUCGUAGGCGGUUUGUCGCGUCUGCCGUGAAAGUCCGGGGCUCAACUCCGGAUCUGCGGUGGGUACGGGCAGACUAGAGUGAUGUAGGGGAGACUGGAAUUCCUGGUGUAGCGGUGAAAUGCGCAGAUAUCAGGAGGAACACCGGUGGCGAAGGCAGGUCUCUGGGCCACUACUGACGCUGAGAAGCGAAAGCGUGGGGAGCGAACAGG
rnacentral:rRNA from 1 species